GGUGGCUCAGUGGUAGAGUACUUGCCUUGCAUGCAGGAGGCCCUGGGUUCGAUUCCUCAGCACCA
rnacentral:tRNA from 1 species